rfam:Oryza nivara chromosome 12, whole genome shotgun sequence.
UAAAAGGCUAACUCUAGAUUUCCGUGUCUAACUUUGACUGUCCGUCUUAUAUGAAAUUUUUUAUAAUUCAUAUUUUUAUUGUUGUUAAAUGAUUAAACAUGAUUAAUAUUUUAUACGUGAUUUCUCUUUUUAAUUUUUUUCAUAAUUUUUUUAAAUAAGACGGACGAUCAAACGUUGGACACGAAAACUAGAGUUUGUCUUUUUU